GAGCGAUUGAACUCCAAGCCCUGCUCGGCAGGCUCCAGCUGACGGGCUAUUUUUUGCCGUGGUUGACUAAAUAUGGUCAGGGAGGGAAGAGCAGGAGCAGGGGCCGCGCGCCCGGGGUGAGGACUAAUCCCAUCCCUGGGCCUGCUCUCUGUUCCCUUCCUGCAUUAGAGAUUGGCUAUAAGGAGAAGGCUGACGGCUGCAGCAUGAAGCGCAUUAUUACCUUGUGAUUCCAUGACCCUCCUCUAUGCAUCCCUAACUCUCGAAAGCUGAUUCAGCUUUCAGCUAGUGCUCUGGUGAGUCCUCUGCUGCAACAGAAGCUCCUAACUGGACUUAAGACAGACAAAACCAGGCACGUUCUCUGUCCCAAAGACCUGACAGCAUUCACCAGUCAAGCAUAGGAAGAGGAGGUGGCAAAGAAGGGACCCACUUCUGCCUUUGAUCUUCCAAGUGUCUCAGGUGGUGUGAUCAGAUCAGCUGGAUUCUGCCCAUGGAGUUUUUUUCUGGCAAUCCUUUUCCUUCACCUGUUUUUCUGUUAUUUUUUAAAUUUUUUUUUCUGAGAGGGGAGAAAAGAAAGGACAAGCAAGCCAACAGGCAGAUAAUUGUUCUGUGCUGACAGUUUGUUAAGUGAUGGAAGCACAGUUUUAGUCAAGAGAUCUGCGUUACAGCGGCGAGUGAGCAGAAGUCUCUUCUUUUCCUCCCAGAUGGCAUUGACAUAUAGCCUGAAGGGGCAAUCAGGAUACAAAGCUAAAGAUGGUUAAAGACAUUAAAAACUGUACAAUGUGAGCACUAUCUACACCAGGACCAUCACCCAGGAGGAAGAUUCAUCCUGACAUAUCAGGCAGAAGUCAGAUCUUCCAUUGGUGUUAUAUAAAGCCAUUGAGCCGAAGGUAUUUUUGAGAUAGACAAAAAAGAUAUAUUCCUGCUACUAACCAUGUCUUUUCCAGUAGGUCUUUAUUGACUCUUGAAAAGCAAUGACCAAUAAAUGUAAUGAUCUGCCUUCCCUUUUCUUUCUGUGUGAACAAUAUCUUCUGCAGGGUGUUCAUCACUGCAGGCAAUGAGUGGCUUGAGCCAUUCCUGUCUAACUCCACUUCCCAGCAAGACACUGAAUGCAUUCUCUUCAUCACUCUGUUUCCUGGAUCCUGCCAGGGCUUUUGUUAAUGAUAAAUGUUGCACUCAGGAUAAGAUUAUAAAUCUUGCCAUAGGAUGGAGGGAAUUUGAAUUCUGCAUUCCUUGGAUUUGGUGUUGUGUAAGUUGCUUAAUUAACUUGCACAGAGAAUGGGCUUAAUAACAUUGCAUUUUUUAAUAAGCAAGCAGUGCAGCUGGAGGGAUAGGGAACCAUGAAGACAGGAGUUCACCUGCAGGAAAAUAUCCUCUACUUCCCCCAAAAGCGAUAAAAAUGUCAAUACAUUGACACAACCCCUAAUUAAAAAUGACUGCCAUAAUCACGCUUAUCAUAGCCGUAGGACAUUAGUUUGGAUUAAACACAAACAGCGGGAUGUGCUGCACAUGUUUUCCAAAGGAACAAAGGGCUGGAUGAUGGGAUCUCCUGCACACCCAAGCGAGAGCAGAGGAAGGAUCCCUCAGCUCCUACAUGUGGGCUGCUCCUUCACCGUCCUUCCCUCUGAGCUGCACGACGGCGGCCGCCUGCACAGCCCGAGCUGUUUGCAGCCAGGAGAUGAACCAUGUCCACGUGUCCUUUUUUGGCUGAGGUUGGAGCAGACGUCCUUCCCUUUGUGUCUGACGUGGCCAGACAGCAGCCCGGCGGCCUCAUGCAUUACCUCAGCUCCUGCAGCACUGCUGAGCUGUAGUAGCACCCAGCCUGGGGUGUGGAUACGUCCUCCUUUCCCUCAGAAGGAAUGAAAUCCCUCAUUUUGGGGUAUUCAGCAAGCAGAGGGACAACAGAAAACAGCUUGUCGAUGCUCCAUGUCAAUUAUAUUGUGUGAUUGGCCUGACUGGAUUUGAUAUGGAUUUAAUGGUUGGACUUGAUGAUCUUAGGGGUCUUUUCCAACCUGAAUGAUUCCAAGAGAGACUUCCUAUUUCAACGUUCAACUGCUCUUGCCUUUAUGCGUGUGAUACUGAUGUGCACCCAGGGAUCUGAGCUGGCUCUAAGCACUUGUCUUUUAUUCUACUACACCAAAAAUAAACACUGAGAUGCUACAUGUAGCCCCGGGGCUGAAAGGUGGGAUUGCACCACAGAGAUGGGGCUGAGGAGAAGCAGCAUCUGCUACAGGGGGGCUACAAGGAGUUGAGUAACUGAGUGAUGGGGCAGAGCAUGGGCAGCCUUUCUCUUGAAGAAACUCAGCACCAAGGGUUUCUUUUCCAAUUCCAUGUGGGAUAGUUACUUCACAUCUCUCAGCAUCUCUGAUAAAAUCUGCCUCCAGCUCUUUCUGCCCUCCCAUCCUAUAAAUUAUUUUAUGCAAUGCCUGACAUGAUUUCUACUUUCUCCUGCAUAGAGGGACAGGAGUGGGGAAAGAAUGAGAGAGGGAGAGGUUUGAAACUGUUUCCCAAAUAUUCCAGUGUCCAGCCAUGAGCUGAUAUCCUGGCAGGAGUAAGAGGUGGCCCCGUGCAGCACUCACUUAUGAACAAAUAAUGAAUGAUGCUGCAGCUUCUGUUCAGCACAGGGAAAGGAAUUAAUUUCUAUCCCCCUUUUGUGGAUCACCUGGAAAGUACAGGUGUAAUCCAUCUUUCCACGGUGAGGAUCAUGGCCCUGUGAGCCAAAAAAAGCCUGUGAAGGACAAAACCUGGGACAGCCCUUUGAGCUGGGACAUCCAUCGGUCACAGAAAGAAGCAGGAAAAGAAAGAAAGAAAAAAAAGAAGAAAAAAACCACCAAAUGACUUUAACUGAUACAGAUUCAUCUGCUAGGGAAGCUGGAGCUAAGCCUGGUGUAACAUCCUCACUUCAUUUUGGGGAUGAGCAUUUCAUUCCCUGCUGUCUUAGAAGUGCUAAAAAACUUCACAAUAAUACCUUUUCAUAAUUUAAAAACUUCCAUUGUGAUCUCCAGCCUGCAGAGUCACUGGACAAUUUAAUGUGGGGUGUGAGUAGAUUUUCAACAUAGACAGAUUGAUUCAUGAGUGAAUUAAUCUGAUGCAUCUUUUAAAUGGAAAACUGACAUAAUUUUCCAUAAGAGACCUGCUAAUAAAGCACAUUUACUUGGUGAAUCCAUUUUUUCCUGUACUAAGUGCACUAUAUAAGGUAUAAAAAUACCAAAUCAAUAACCAAAGAGUAUAUAAAAAUGAGACUGACAGAUCAGAAACCAUGGGUGAGCCACCCUCUCCUUGACUUCUUGGGGAACUCUGUUUCUGCUGCCGAAAGCCACAUUCCCACAGUCUUCCCAGGACAGCAAGGCUGCAAAACCCCAGGUGUCCUUGUAAGUCCCAGAGGGGACAGGGAGCAAUGAGCCACCUGCUUCCAGGGGUAUGAUGGCACCAGUUCUCCUGCAACCCUCCCUAUUUUUAGAAGUAGAUAGUUUGAGGGGGUUGGGUUUUUCUUCUUUAUUAGUUUUAUUAUUAUUGUUGCAGAAGGAACUGAGUAGAAGAAACGUGUUUAAAAGACAAAGGCAUCUUCCACAGUAUAUUUGUGCAGGGAGCCUGCCAAGGGAAUGUGCACAAACUCUCCUUUUUUAUUCUUUAGCUGGAGUACAGCAGCGUUAUUUCAAAGGAAAUGCCUGCACAGUCUUCCCUCUGCAAACACUGCAACCAUCAUUCCAUUAGUGCAAUUCUCCCGUGUGAGCUAAUUUAACAAGCAGUUGCUUUGCAGGCUGUGGAGAAUUGCCUCUUACCUAAUAAUUCUGCUAAUUUGCUUAACUUUCCCAGAUUGCAAAUGGCCCUGCUCUGAACAGGCAGAUUUCUACAUGAAGCCCCAGACAAGUUCCUGACAAGAGCCAAAGGAAAGGUGGAUGGCUCAGGAGGUUAAAGCUCACAGUCUUUUAUUUUGACCUUUGGGCUAGCAUUCAAAUUUGCUUGUUGGGAAAACUGCAUUCAGCAUGUAUUUUCUUCAGGGAUUUACGAUACCCUUUUGCUUGUAAUUAUUCUCAGUUGAUGCCUUCCAUAAAUUAAAGAGGCUUCUA